GAUGAACGCUAGCGGCAGGCUUAACACAUGCAAGUCGAGGGGUAUUGGUUUUCGGACCAAGAGACCGGCGCACGGGUGCGUAACGCGUAUGCAAUCUACCUUUUGCAGAGGGAUAGCCCAGAGAAAUUUGGAUUAAUACCUCAUAGUAUAGUACUUUGGCAUCAAGGAACUAUUAAAGUCACAACGGCAAAGAUGAGCAUGCGUCCCAUUAGCUAGUUGGUAAGGUAACGGCUUACCAAGGCUACGAUGGGUAGGGGUUCUGAGAGGGAGAUCCCCCACACUGGUACUGAGACACGGACCAGACUCCUACGGGAGGCAGCAGUGAGGAAUAUUGGACAAUGGGCGCAAGCCUGAUCCAGCCAUGCCGCGUGCAGGAAGAAGCAUCUAUGGUGUGUAAACUGCUUUUGGUACGGGAAGAAACACUCCUACGUGUAGGAGCUUGACGGUACCUAAGAAUAAGGAUCGGCUAACUCCGUGCCAGCAGCCG
rnacentral:rRNA from 1 species